rnacentral:rRNA from 1 species
CAGUCGUGCAGUCAUCAACUCAGCGGGUAGCGUAGGUAAUUUAUUACUUUCGUUCUCCGUGUACUUUGUUGUCUGCUGGUUAGCAUCAAUUUUGAUUGUCAUAAAAAGGUUAAGGGGAUGUGGCUCCUUCGGGAGUGUUAUAACCCUUAGCGGAAUGUGGCGAUUGGGAUUGAGGAUUGCAACGAAUACCUUUAGGGCAGUUCCGUCUGAUCUCUUGUUGACGUUUAGAUGGCAACAGCUUGCUUUUGUUGUUUGAAUAGUUAGCAAAUAGAUUGGAUAGUGUAUUUA